rnacentral:rRNA from 1 species
GACGAACGCUGGCGGCGUGCUUAACACAUGCAAGUCGAACGGAAAGGCCUCUUUCGGGGGGUACUCGAGUGGCGAACGGGUGAGUAACACGUGAGUAACCUGCCCUUGACUUUGGGAUAACUUCAGGAAACUGGGGCUAAUACCGGAUAGGAGCUCCUGCUGCAUGGUGGGGGUUGGAAAGUUUCGGCGGUUGGGGAUGGACUCGCGGCUUAUCAGCUUGUUGGUGGGGUAGUGGCUUACCAAGGCUUUGACGGGUAGCCGGCCUGAGAGGGUGACCGGCCACAUUGGGACUGAGAUACGGCCCAGACUCCUACGGGAGGCAGCAGUGGGGAAUAUUGCACAAUGGGUGGAAGCCUGAUGCAGCAACGCCGUGUGCGGGAUGACGGCCUUCGGGUUGUAUACCGCUUUCGCUCAUGACGAAGCUUUGUGUGACGGUAGUGGGUAAAGAAGCACCGGCUAACUACGUG